GGUUUUGCUGAGUUGCUAAGGGCCUCACUAGGUUGCUGAGACUGGCUUUGAACUCCUGUUUCAGCCUCCCCAGCAGCUGGGAUUACAGGAGGUCAGGGAGUGUCUGAAGCCAACCCAUGGACUUCUGAAUCCCAGAGGAAGAACUUGUGCACCCUGGAACAUCAUAUGUGUCAAGUAGUGUGAUCCAUGACCUGUCAAGUUUUUCUACAAAGCAUCAGACAUCUGAAAGUGCCCUACCACUGAGCUACACUCCCAGCCUUAGAAACUCUCUUUUUCUUUAAAGAGUGGAGUCUUUCUCUUCAGGAGAUUCCAAUAAUGAGAUCUGCAAUAAGACUUCUGAAACACAUCUUCAAAAUACCUGCAACAAGUAUUUUGGCUGCUGGAGGACAAAAGGUCUCAGCCUCACCGAAAACCAGGCAGUGACUCACUCACCCUCUACCUUUCACUGGAGGAGAAUCAUUUUAGGGUGAAAAUUCUCAAGGAAGUCAGUUUAUCUCCUCAAAACAGAAAGGACUAAUCAAGCAUUGUCUGAUUAAUUAGAGACUCUUGGAAAAAAAGUGCUAUCAAGGCCUACAGCUGCAAUCAAUUUAAUCAACAUGCAAAGAGCCAAUCAUUGGUUUUCUUGAUUAACAAAGCUGAAUGUUAAACAGAGAAGUGUGACAUUGUCGUGCCAUUAGCUACAGCUACAAAUUGAGAAUUUCCCCUAAAUAUUCAAAGUCAGGCCAGGAUAAAGUGAAAGCUUUUUCAUAUUCAAUUUCUUAACGUUGAACCCUAUAAGCAUGGCCAUUUCAAUUCUUCCCCUUGAUAGUUCAUGUAGGAAAAAUAAUUUUCAUCCAAAGAGCAGAGAUGAGCGGUGACGUCAGGAAGCUCCAAGACACUGCCCCACUCCCCACAAAAAACCCACAAAAAACCACACACACACACACAAAAAAAACCCCACUCCCGGCCACACAGGUCCCAGUAAAAUUUACCACGUGUAAUAGUGCUAGUAGUUAUUGUCAUUUGAAAUUACAGAAAGAAAAAGACUUGUUCCCAAGCAGCUUUAUGUAACACUUUUUUGAAGAUGACUGGAGUUAAGGACUUUGUAACUUUUAAGUCAUUAGCAAAUCAAGAGCAGAAAACUUUGCCGCCUUUUUGAACUUUAACUAGAGGAUAAUUGCCUUAAAAUUAGAAUACAAAAUAAAAUCAUCUAGACCUUUCUGUGAAAUGAUGGAACUUAAUGUUGCAGAAAGAGUAGGUGGAGUUUAAUUUAAUGCUUUAAUUUAGCUUUCUGGGCUUUUGUAAAGAAUAACUACAGGGUAUCAUUUUCAUCAUUAAGUGUGUCAGAAUAAUAAGAUACCAUAUUUAUGUACUGAUUUCCAUUUUCUUUUCAAAGUUUGGUUAUACUUUUAUGUUCAGUAGUCAAAUAAAACAAAUGAUAUGCUAAAAAGUAGGCUCUGUGAGGUGAAUGACAAUUUAAUUUCUUCCCAGUGUUGGCUGGCUACACAAGAAAAUAAAGAACUGGGGGAAAGUUGACAGGAUAUUUAGUUGACUAGAUUUAUUUCCCAGCAGUUGCAGGGUAUGUUAAUUGUAACUUUUCAGUUAAUGAAAAAUAUUGUGAUAGAACACUGAUGUGGGUGAUAAACGGACUUUAAACACAUAGACGGUAAAAUCCUAUUUCUAAAACUCUGGGAGGAAAUAAUCAGAACUCUUUUGUUGGUUAAACCAUUAUUUUUUUUGGUACAGAGGAUUGACGUCGAGGCACUCCACCACUGAGCCACAUCCCCAGCCCUUUUUUUAUAUUUUAUUUAGAGACAGGGUCUCACUGAGUUGCUCAGCACCACGAUUUUGCUGAGGCUGGCUUUGAACUCGUUAUCCUCCUGCCUCAGCCUACUAAGCCACUGAGAUUACAGGGGUUGGACCAGUCUGGUAAGCAAAAUUGGGCUUGCCAAGGGAGGGCAGUAACUCUCCCUAGUCAGUAAGCUACCAUCAUCAUUGUUAUUAUUCACAGAAUUACUCCAGCUGCUAUUCAACUUAAAUAUGGUCCUCAUUCUACGGAAAGCUUACAGGAAGAAUUGUAAGAAUGGUAGAAAGACAAAGAAAUCUUGCAAUAUCAGAAAGAGCAAACCGGCAGACUAAGAAUCUCACUGAUGAUUACCACUAAUAAACUCUUUGACUGAAGUGUAACAAACACGUAGAAAACUGCACAAAUAUAUAACUCAGUGAAUGUCCCCAAGGUGAACAGUAAUCACCACCUGGGUCAGAGGACAGAUACUUUCCUUCCUCCUAAUGGUCACGCUCUCCUCUCCCCACAUCCAUUUGCCUGUGAUUGAAUUUAUUGGAAUGGAAUCCUAUAGUACAUAUUCCUCAGACGUCUAGCUUCUUUCUGGAAUAUUAUAGUUGUGAAAAUCAUCCGUGUGUUGGAGUGCAUGUAGUAUUCCAUUGAGUAAAUAGAACACAAGCCACUCAUCCCUUCUACUACCGAAAAGAAAAUGGAUCGCUUCUAGAAUGGGGCUAUGGAGGCUGUGUUAUCUCCCCUCAAAGGGGAGAUUAAUAACAAUGAUAUUUUAGGAGGUUCUUCUUUGGCCAGGUAAGGAAGUGUGGAUGAGAUUUCUUUUUGUGUUUCCUGUAGG